UACGAAGGGGGCUAGCGUUGCUCGGAAUCACUGGGCGUAAAGCGCACGUAGGCGGCCAACUAAGUCAGACGUGAAAUCCCUCGGCUUAACCGGGGAACUGCGUCUGAUACUGGAUGGCUCGAGAUUGGGAGAGGGAUGCGGAAUUCCAGGUGUAGCGGUGAAAUGCGCAGAUAUCAGGAAGAACACCAAUGGCGAAAGCAGCUCUCUGGGACGGUACUGACGCUGAGACGCGAAAGCCGUGGGGAGCGAACAGG
rnacentral:rRNA from 1 species